ensembl:lncRNA
GUCGCGGCCAAUACAGCCUCUGAUAAAGUGAGCAACGGACUGAAGAGAAUCUCUUCAGAGUUGUCAGUUUGUGCAUCAGCAGCAAUGCCAAGAGACUCCCAAAGCUCUGAUAACAGGGACUCGGUGAAAGAGGGGUGCUUGGAUGAACUUUGGCAAGCUGUGGAUACCAAA